rnacentral:lncRNA from 1 species
GCGAACUGUCAAAUCGCGAGUGUAUAAACAACCUGAAAGAAUGAAAAUUUUCUAGGAUAUACAAUUCAUUCGGCGUGGAUCGAUGCUUAUCCUUCAAUGUGAUCGUUCUUUAAUGUUAACAUAUCGGAGCGUGCGAUCCUAGAAGAAUAAUAAGACGCAUGGGACUUGAACGGUUGCACCAUUCGAAGUGCAUAAGACAGUAACAGAGAUAGAUAUACAAACAGAGGGAAAGAGAGAGGGAGAGAGAGAGA